rnacentral:rRNA from 1 species
CAGUAGCCGCGGUAAUACGUAGGUCCCGAGCGUUGUCCGGAUUUAUUGGGCGUAAAGCGAGCGCAGGCGGUUUGAUAAGUCUGAAGUUAAAGGCUGUGGCUCAACCAUAGUUCGCUUUGGAAACUGUCAAACUUGAGUGCAGAAGGGGAGAGUGGAAUUCCAUGUGUAGCGGUGAAAUGCGUAGAUAUACGGAGGAACACCGGUGGCGAAAGCGGCUCUCUGGUCUGUAACUGACGCUGAGGCUCGAAAGCGUGGGGAGCGAACAGGAUUAGAGACCCCCGUAGUCCCUGUCUCUUAUACA